UCCUACGGGGCGCAGCAGUUGGGAAUAUUGGACAAUGGAGGAAACUCUGAUCCAGUGACGCCGCGUGAAGGAAGAAGGUCUUCGGAUUGUAAACUUAUUUUGUCAGGGAAGAAACAAAUGACUGUACCUGAAGAAAAAGCACCGGCUAACUACGUGCCAGCAGCCGCGGUAAUACGUAGGGUGCAAGCGUUAUCCGGAUUUACUGGGCGUAAAGGGAGCGUAGACGGCAGUGCAAGUCUGAAGUGAAAGCCCCGGGCUUAACCCGGGAACUGCUUUGGAAACUGUACGGCUGGAGUGCUGGAGAG
rnacentral:rRNA from 1 species